rnacentral:rRNA from 1 species
UACGUAGGUGACCAGCGUUGUCCGGAUUUACUGGGCGUAAAGGGCGCGUAGGCGGCAAUUCAAGUCAGCUGUGAAAUCUCUGGGCUUAACCCAGAACGGCCAGCUGAUACUGCUUUGCUAGAGUGCAGAAGGGGCAAUCGGAAUUCUUGGUGUAGCGGUGAAAUGCGUAGAUAUCAAGAGGAACACCUGAGGUGAAGACGGGUUGCUGGGCUGACACUGACGCUGAGGCGCGAAAGCCAGGGGAGCAAACGGG